CUCUGCUUCAUGCAAGCAGUUGAAGGCCUUAGAACAAAGAUUGACCUCCCCUGAGCAAGAAGGAAUUCUGCCUGCAGACGGUUUUUGGACUCAAACCGCAACUCUUCACAGGCUGCCUAACCUACAAAUUGUGGAUCUACCAAGCCUCCAUGAUUGUCAUUCCCCGGCUUUCAGCAUCACUGUGAAAAUUCAAGGGAAAAAAUGUGUAUCUUGAACCUGCCAACCUCGUGUCAAGCUCAUUUAUAACAACAGCCCCUAUGAGACCCACACACUAUGCGAUUGGUUUCUGUUACCUUAAUGUAAUGGAAUUGAGAUCCUUGCUGCUUUCUCUGGAGUGGGAGGCUGGCUCCAACCGGAAGGAAGAAGAGACUGUAUGCCACUCCGUGAUCUCUAGAACACUGACCCGCUGGAUACUUAUUAAAUACCUGCUGCAUACACAGAGCUGGGAUAGGCACAAAAGAAAAUUUGAAGAGUGUUGUCAUUUUGUUGGGGAAAAAAAUUUCCAUGUGAAAUAAUUGAGCUUCAUUAGAGGAAACAAAGUAAGAGAAAUCAAAAUGUUUUGUAAGAUACUGUGGGAGAGAGAAGAAUAUGGAAGUUAGCCAAAGGAGGAAAACGUGAAAAACUAAAAGUGGUUCUCAACCGGGGCUCCCCAUUUCAAUUACACAGAAAGUUCUUAAAACUCUCCAUACCCAGACCAUACUCCAAACCAAUUAAAUCAGGAUUUCCAGCAAUGGGACUUUUCCAUAAAUACAUAUGUUUUAAAUCUCCCAAGAUGGUUCCAUUGUGCAGCCAAGAUGAAGAACUACUAAUGCAGAGAAAAGAUAAAAGAUUCCCUGAAGGUCUGGAGUUAUGACCAUUAAGUGGGGGUGGAGGG
rnacentral:lncRNA from 1 species